UACGGAGGGUGCUAGCGUUGUUCGGAAUCACUGGGCGUAAAGGGCGCGUAGGCGGCCAGGCAAGUCGGCUUUGUGAAAGCCCGGGGCUCAACCCCGGAGGUGCGGCCGGGACUGCUUGGCUGGAGGCCGGAAGAGGAGGGUGGAAUACCCAGUGUAGAGGUGAAAUUCGUAGAUAUUGGGGGAACACCGGUGGCGAAAGCGGCUCUCUGGUCCGGACCUGACGCUGAGGCGCGAAAGCGUGGGGAGCAAACAGG
rnacentral:rRNA from 1 species